AUUGAACGCUGGCGGCAGGCCUAACACAUGCAAGUCGAGCGAGAGGCGGACGGGUGAGUAAUGUCUGGGAAACUGCCUGAUGGAGGGGGAUAACUACUGGAAACGGUAGCUAAUACCGCAUACCAUCAGAUGUGCCCAGAUGGGCUUAGCUAGUAGGUGGGGUAAGGGCUCACCUUGGCGACGAUCCCUAGCUGGUCUGAGCGGAUGACCAGCAACACUGGAACUGGGACACGGUCCAGACUCCUACGGGAGGCAGAGGUGGGGAUUAUUGCACAAUGGGCGCAAGCCUGAUGCAGCCAUGCCGCGUGUGUGAAGAGGGCCUUCGGGUUGUAAAGCACUUUCAGCGAGGAGGCGUUACUCGCAGAAGAAGCACCGGCUAACUCCGUGCCAGCAGCCGCGGUAAUUC
rnacentral:rRNA from 1 species